CUAGCGACUCAGAGUUUGAUCCUGGCUCAGGACGAACGCUGGCGGCGUGCCUAAUACAUGCAAGUCGAGCGGACCUGUUUUGAAGCUUGCUUCGAAACAGGUUAGCGGCGGACGGGUGAGUAACACGUGGGCAACCUGCCCGUAAGACCGGGAUAACUUGCGGAAACGUGAGCUAAUACCGGAUAGUUUUCCUUCCCGCAUGGGAAGGAAAGGAAAGGUGGCGCAAGCUACCACUUACGGAUGGGCCCGCGGCGCAUUAGCUAGUUGGUGGGGUAACGGCCUACCAAGGCGACGAUGCGUAGCCGACCUGAGAGGGUGAUCGGCCACACUGGGACUGAGACACGGCCCAG
rnacentral:rRNA from 1 species